UACGUAGGGUGCGAGCGUUGUCCGGAAUUAUUGGGCGUAAAGAGCUUGUAGGCGGUCUGUCGCGUCUGCUGUGAAAAUCCGGGGCUCAACCCCGGACUUGCAGUGGGGUACGGGCAGACUAGAGUGUGGUAGGGGGAGACUGGAAUUCCUGGUGUAGCGGUGAAAUGCGUAGAUAUCGGGAGGAACACCAGUGGCGAAGGCGACUUCCUGGCCUGUUCUUGACGCUGAGGCGGCGAA
rnacentral:rRNA from 1 species